GACGAACGCUGGCGGCGUGCUUAACACAUGCAAGUCGAACGGUAAGGCCCUUCGGGGUACACGAGUGGCGAACGGGUGAGUAACACGUGGGUGAGCUGCCCUGCACUUCGGGAUAAGCCUGGGAAACUGGGUCUAAUACCGGAUAGGACUACUGCCUGCAUGGGUGGUGGUGGAAAGCCUUUGCGGUGUGGGAUGGGCCCGCGGCCUAUCAGCUUGUUGGUGGGGUGAUGGCCUACCAAGGCGACGACGGGUAGCCGGCCUGAGAGGGUGACCGGCCACACUGGGACUGAGAUACGGCCCAGACUCCUACGGGAGGCAGCAGUGGGGAAUAUUGCACAAUGGGCGCAAGCCUGAUGCAGAGACGCCGCGUGAGGGAUGACGGCCUUCGGGUUGUAAACCUCUUUCAGCACCGACGAAGCGCAAGUGACGGUAGGUGCAGAAGAAGGACCGGCCAACUACGUGCCAGCCGCCGCCGUAA
rnacentral:rRNA from 1 species